UUUUAUGGAGAGUUUGAUCCUGGCUCAGAGUGAACGCUGGCGGCGUGCCUAAUACAUGCAAGUCGAACGAUGAAGCUUCUAGCUUGCUAGAAGUGGAUUAGUGGCGCACGGGUGAGUAACGCAUAGGUCAUGUGCCUCUUAGUUUGGGAUAGCCAUUGGAAACGAUGAUUAAUACCAGAUACUCCCUACGGGGGAAAGAUUUAUCGCUAAGAGAUCAGCCUAUGUCCUAUCAGCUUGUUGGUAAGGUAAUGGCUUACCAAGGCUAUGACGGGUAUCCGGCCUGAGAGGGUGAACGGACACACUGGAACUGAGACACGGUCCAGACUCCUACGGGAGGCAGCAGUAGGGAAUAUUGCUCAAUGGGGGAAACCCUGAAGCAGCAACGCCGCGUGGAGGAUGAAGGUUUUAGGAUUGUAAACUCCUUUUGUUAGAGAAGAUAAUGACGGUAUCUAACGAAUAAGCACCGGCUAACUCCGUGCCAGCAGCCGCGGUAAUACGGAGGGUGCAAGCGUUACUCGGAAUCACUGGGCGUAAAGAGCGCGUAGGCGGGAUAGUCAGUCAGGUGUGAAAUCCUAUGGCUUAACCAUAGAACUGCAUUUGAAACUACUAUUCUAGAGUGUGGGAGAGGUAGGUGGAAUUCUUGGUGUAGGGGUAAAAUCCGUAGAGAUCAAGAGGAAUACUCAUUGCGAAGGCGACCUGCUGGAACAUUACUGACGCUGAUUGCGCGAAAGCGUGGGGAGCAAACAGGAUUAGAUACCCUGGUAGUCCACGCCCUAAACGAUGGAUGCUAGUUGUUGGAGGGCUUAGUCUCUCCAGUAAUGCAGCUAACGCAUUAAGCAUCCCGCCUGGGGAGUACGGUCGCAAGAUUAAAACUCAAAGGAAUAGACGGGGACCCGCACAAGCGGUGGAGCAUGUGGUUUAAUUCGAAGAUACACGAAGAACCUUACCUAGGCUUGACAUUGAGAGAAUCCGCUAGAAAUAGUGGAGUGUCUGGCUUGCUAGACCUUGAAAACAGGUGCUGCACGGCUGUCGUCAGCUCGUGUCGUGAGAUGUUGGGUUAAGUCCCGCAACGAGCGCAACCCCCUUUCUUAGUUGCUAACAGGUCAUGCUGAGAACUCUAAGGAUACUGCCUCCGUAAGGAGGAGGAAGGUGGGGACGACGUCAAGUCAUCAUGGCCCUUACGCCUAGGGCUACACACGUGCUACAAUGGGGUGUACAAAGAGAAGCAAUACUGCGAAGUGGAGCCAAUCUUCAAAACACCUCUCAGUUCGGAUUGUAGGCUGCAACUCGCCUGCAUGAAGCUGGAAUCGCUAGUAAUCGCAAAUCAGCCAUGUUGCGGUGAAUACGUUCCCGGGUCUUGUACUCACCGCCCGUCACACCAUGGGAGUUGUGUUUGCCUUAAGUCAGGAUGCUAAAUUAGCUACUGCCCACGGCACACACAGCGACUGGGGUGAAGUCGUAACAAGGUAACCGUAGGUGAACCUGCGGUUGGAUCACCUCCUUUCUAGA
rnacentral:rRNA from 1 species